UACGUAGGGGGCGAGCGUUGUCCGGAGUUACUGGGCGUAAAGCGCUUGUAGGCGGUCCGCCAAGUUUGGGGUGACAGUUGCCGACUUAAUCGGCAAAGUGCCUCAAAGACUGGCGGACUUGAGGGCCACAGAGGGACAUGGAACUCCAGGUGUAGUGGUGAAAUGCGUAGAUAUCUGGAAGAACACCAAAGGCGAAGGCAGUGUCCUGGGUGGUCGCUGACGCUGGGAGGCGAAAGCCAGGGGAGCGAACGGG
rnacentral:rRNA from 1 species